UACGGGGGGAGCAAGCGUUGUUCGGAUUUACUGGGCGUAAAGGGCGCGUUGGCGGUCGUGACAAGUCACUUGUGAAAUCUCCGGGCUUAACUCGGAACGGUCAAGUGAUACUGUCGGACUAGAGUACAGAAGGGGCAACUGGAAUUCUCGGUGUAGCGGUGAAAUGCGUAGAUAUCGAGAGGAACACCUGCGGCGAAGGCGGGUUGCUGGGCUGAUACUGACGCUGAGGCGCGAAAGCCAGGGGAGCGAACGGG
rnacentral:rRNA from 1 species